UGUGCAUUCGAACCGAGAGCAACAUUUAACGAACGCGUGUUUGUCGGUAGUAGCAACAAUAGCAGCAGCUUCUAGCGAAACUUCACAGCCACAGCCAAGUGUUUUGUUGGUGUGUCCCAAAGAAGCCAAGUGCAAAGCAAAAUUGAAUAAUUUUUGUAGUGUGUGCGCGUUGCGUGUGAGUAAAUGUGCUUGUGCAUGUGGAUGUGUUUGUGUAUUUUCCGUUUUCUCGGUUGUAUUCAUAUAUAUUCAUAUUAUUUGCUUGCCAUGCCAAAAAAUAUAAAGUUGAUAUAAAAAUCUAAAGGGCAAAGCAAAUGCGCAUAACUGUUAGCGAAUUCAAGUUAAAAAGUGUAUUGUAACAGCAACAAGGAGCCGACUCAGCGAUUGUGCUGCUAUUUUUGGAGCAAUUAGCAAAGAAUAACAACGACAACAACGAAACGUCGCUGUCGACGUCGACGGCAACAGCAACAGCAACAACAACAAGAGCAACACUAAAGCCUUACGGCUGCUGUGCCGUUGCUUCUGUGGAGUACGAAAAACAACAACAACAACAGCAAAGUAACAACAACAGCAAGUAAAAAUAACAAUAUCAAUUGCGUCGUCGGUCGGCGCAUUUGCAUAAAUAUGUAAGGCUGCCAGAACCCGCCUCCCGUGUCAUAUUGUUAGCCCCUCUGCGACUGCUUGCGCUCCACCUUUUAUCAAGUGUCGACAAACAUCAAGAAAGAAGAAGAUAAAUUAGAAGAAGCAGAAGAAGAGAGAUAAAAAGCACAAAUUGUGCAAAAUUAUUCCAAUUGUGUUUUGUGUUUUGCUGCUCUUUUCGCGUAUUUGCAGUUUCGCGAGUGUGUGUGCGAGUGUGCGUGUGCGUUUUUGUGUGUUGUUUAUGUGAACACAAUGCCGCUUAGCCCUGAGCAAAAGCAACAACGCUGAGGUGAGCUCUAUCUGCCUCUUUCUCUCUCUUUCUGUCUAUCUUGCUCGUUCGUUUCUCUUUCACUUCCAAUUGCAACGGUCCAGCAGCUGAGAAAAAAAAUCAAAACGCAACUGCAGAAAAUGUCAACUUCAACAAUAACAACAACAACAGCAGCAGCCGCAGCCCCAGCAGCGGCAACGGCAGUUUCAACGCCCCCGCUGACUGCGAGUUGCGGACGUACCGCGGACUGUCGUAAAUUCUCACCAAAUAUAUUCAACAAGAGCAAAUGCAGCCACUGUUUUCGUCAACGGGAGGAGCACAGUGCCGCUGCCUUGGAAUGCAAUAGGUCUUUAAAGACUCUGGCACUACUCGCAUCGCGAAAAGUCUCCAAAUGUGGAUAUUUGUUUGUCGCACCAGAUUGGGAUUUCAGCAAUCCGUUGUACAGAACAAAGCGUUGGCAGAGACGGUGGUUUGUCCUUUAUGACGAUGGAGAGCUCACUUACUCAGUGGAUGACUUUCCCGAGACGGUGCCACAGGCUUGCAUUGAUAUGACCAAAGUUAUGGAAGUAAGCAGCGCGGAGGAAGUAACCGGCCACACAAACUCCAUUGCCAUAACAGCGCCGGAGCGCGUGACUUAUGUAAAGGGCAUCAGCUCAGAGGAAUCGCAAUGGUGGCUCAAUAUAUUGACAGCGUUUCCAAAGUCGAAGGGUCGUCACAAGCGGAGUACCACAUUGCCGGGUGGUCAGAUCAAUUGUCUUCGCCAAUCCGCCAAUGUAGACUUGGCGAUCAAGUUGGGAAAUCGCCAUAGUUCAUAUCACAAGGAUACGCUGACGUCCUCACAGUCCGCGUCAAGUUUGAUUGGUAAUCUUGAUUGUCCCAGUUCAAGAAACUCAACACCAAAUGAUGAUGAAGAUGAUGGUGUUGAAACUGGGGAGGACGAAGAUGAGGAUGAUGAAGAAAAUGACAAUGGUGAUGAUGAGGAGCAACAAGUGUCAACGUCCCGAAAAGCCAAGGUCACAUCAUCAUCUAGCAGCAUCGGAGGACAGGACGAGAACAAUCGCAAUGCAGGCAACGAAAUUACAAAUCGAGGUUGUUUGUUGAUCGAGGAUAUACGGCGGGAUGAAAAGUCAAUCAAGGAUAUAGCCAACACAAUAACGAACCUAAGUCAACAACAAAGCAAACGCUGGUCCACAAUGGCUGUGAACAAUGCGUUGAAUAAUCAACAUCAACAUCAUUACCAAUACCAUACAUCUUGCGACGAGACCGAUUUCCAGGUGAUGUCCUCGGGCAAAUCUCUUAACGUUGGCAGUGAGCCACAGACAAUUGUUAAUUUAAGGCCAAAGUCACUACCACUAGCCGCUAACUCGACGCCAGCAAUUGUGUCAGCAGUAGUCAAGAAGAUACCCACGGUACUCGUCUCCCAGCAGCAACAACAACAACACUCAUUGAAGCUGUUAAAAGAAGACAACUCAAAGAGCAACAAGUCCUCUGGUCGAUUAGAACUGCAGUUACAACUGAAGCCUCCCAAGCAUUAUCAGCAUGAACGUGGGGAUCCAGAUGGUGGCUGUAAUCUGGACGAACUAUGCGCCAACUACAUGUCCAAAUCGGAUGAGCUAAGAUCGGUUAGCAAGUUAAGCAGCAACAGCAACAAGAAUGCAGCAUCAGCUAAUAAGACGUUGGGUAAAAGUGUUGAGGAAUCGCUAAAUGCCAAAAAGGGCUGGUUAAUGAAGCUGGAUAACCGAACAGGCGAAUGGAGCAAGCAUUGGUUCACCUUGAGUGGAGCAGCACUCUUCUAUUAUCGCGAUCCGCUUUGCGAAGAACGCGGCGUUCUCGAUGGUGUCCUGGACGUCAACAGCCUUUCAACUGUAGUUGAGGAACCUAGUGCCAGUAAGCAGCAUGCGUUUCAGCUGAUCACUUGGGACAAGCAACGCCUGUUCCUGGCCAGCUUGUCGCCCAGUUCACGUAAUAGUUGGCUAGCGAUCCUGCGGAGUGCGGCAGGUCUGACACAGCAACUAGAGACAUCGACGACGACACCAAUAGCGACAUCAUCUGCAGCCAUAAUAAAGUCCAGCGACAUUGAGCAAGAUUUUAUCAAAGCGCAGUUGCAACAACAUUCAACACAUCCGCUCAGCUCAAGUCCAGCUACACCUGGAACACCAGGAACACCGUGUACACCGGCAAAUGGACCACAUUUCUCUUCGGACGAGGAGUAUCGUACUGCAUCAGAAGGCGGACGACGUGAUAGUUUAGACUGGGGCUCUCCGCUGUCUCCAUCUCCUCCCGUUUUACGGAGCUGUCUGCGAAACCGGAGUCUGGCCAGUCUCCACAAGCGCAGUCGAAGCUCACCACCAAGCUCACGCCGCAGCACCGUGGAUAGCGUGACAAGCGAUGAGCUGUCACUAAUGGCCGUGCCGGAGGAGAUUCGACCAGAGCGUGAGCUAAAGCAACAAUGCGAGACGCUUCGCACCGAGGCCAAGAUAAGAGAGGCACGGAUGUCCGAACUGCUUACAACACUACAACGUACCGAGCAGGAACUCACGGCCCGUCUGCAGGAGCAGCAGCAGCAAUUGAAUGGAGAACUGACCAGUGCCAAACAGAGUGCUGCGGAGCUGGUCCACACUCUAAGCCUGCAGUUAACAGAGAGCCAGUGUAAGAUCAAACAGCUGGAGGAUCGUCUGGCCCAGGGGAUUGAGGAGAACGAAAGCUUAUAUAAAAGAUUGCGUGAUUUCCAAGUGGACAACAACCAAGUGGCCAGUCUGAGCAAUCUGCAGCGUCACAAGAUGAAGCGCAUGGACUCUCUAAGCGAUCUAACGACUAUUAGCGACAUUGAUCCCUACUGCUUGCAGAGAGAUUCCCUUGCCGAGGAGUACAAUGAGUUGCGUACUCGAUUCGAAAAGGCAGUCAAUGAGAUUCGAGCCAUGAAGCGAGAACUCAAACAGUCACAGAACCAGUACGAUGCUCUGGAACUGAUCCAGACAGCACUGCAACAAAAGCUAGAACGGUGCCAGAUGGAAGACGGCGCCCAGCUGCAGCUGAUGGCAGCACGCAUUCAGGAUCUGACCAUCAAGUACAGCACAUCGGAAAGACAAGUACGUGCCUUGAAGCAGAAACUAGCCAAGUCCGAACGAAGACGGUCCCUCUCUCUUAAAGGCAAGGAACAACUGGAACUGAAAUUAAGUGAGCUGCAAAGGGAAACUGUUGAGCAUAAGUCCGGCGAUUGUAGCACAGCAAGCACCACUGAGUCCAGUGGGGACUCAAGUAGUCAAUCAUCACCUUUGAAUGCGCAUCUAUUGCAACGCCUGCACAGUCUGGAGCAUGUGUUGCUGAACACCAAGGAGCGUCUGGAGCAAAGUCUCAACCAGCUGCAGCAACUGCGUGUUGGUCAGCGCAGCCGUCGAUCCGUAUCGCCGCUAAAUGAACGCAAAGAUGGACUGAGGCAGUUGGAACGAGCUCUGGUCGAGACCUGUGUGCUGGUCACCGAGCAGAUGGAACUCUCCUGCUUGCAGGAAGCCUGCCACAAGUGCAGCGAACUUCAUCAGCGCAUUGAGAAGCUGACGACGCUUCAUCAACAAACGGAAACAGAUUUGCAGCGUAGUGAGCAGCUGCUGGAACAGCGCGAGGGAGAACUAGCGAUCUCAUUGGAGAAAUGUGUCAGCCAGGAGAAUGAGCAGCAAGUUUUGCUGCAACAGCGCAAUGAGCUCAGCGAUGAACUGGGUCGGCAACAGGAGCGCUGCAAACGACUUGAGAAGCGUCUUGAUCUUCUGGAAAGGGAGCACGGCAAGCAACUUGAGUGCCUCCGCGAGGUAUACCGUCAUGAGCAUGACAAUGUUGCAGAGGAUCAGAGUUUCCGUAAGCGCUACCAGACUGAGAUUGAGCAGCUGAGGACACUCUGCGAAAAGGGUCUCAGUGCCAUGGAAUCAUCACAUCGCCGACUAAUAUGCGAUAUGGAGGAGAAGCACAAGAUAGAAAUUGAUCGAUUGCUAGCGGAAAAGGAAACAGCUCUGGCUGAGGAGACACAGGCAACACUGGCCGCUUUGGACGCCAUGCGUAAGGCGCAUGAGAGUGAGGUGCAACGAGAGGUUUCACGGUUCAAGUCUGAGUUUUUACAUCAGGUGCAACGGGGUGAGCACAUGCGAGGAGAUGGCGCCAAGCUAAAAGAAGAGGAGCUCGACGAGUUACGUUUGGAGAUACUGUCCUUUUCUGAAAAAUAUUCCAUCAAGUGUGUGGAAAACGCAGCAUUGGAGGAGAAGCUGCAUCUGGCUAACGGGAAGUUAAGGCAUUUUCAGCAAAUGCAACAGCUGGAGCUCAGAAAUCAACAAUUUCGCGCCCAUCUGGCAUCUGACGAUCCUAGCAGCGAUGUGCAUUUCGUCCAAGGCCUAACAGCUGGCUCCAAAGACGAUGCUUCUUGUGAAGAUAGCGAGCCUGUUCAGUGUGCACCACAAAUAAUGGUUGAUACUCGUACAAACACAAGAACAAGAACAACGACCACAAGUAAAAGAACAAGAAGAACAACUAUAGAAACCCCCUGCAUCGGGACUGCCCGAGAAAUUGGAUCAGAACCUGUUUGUGAUACCCUACCAUAGGCAAAAUCAUUGCCAAGUGUCUGCUGCAAGCAUACCUGAUAGUGGCAUUGAUAUCGUUAAUGUCGAUAAAUUCGAUAGAAUCGAUAACAUCGAUGAGCUCGUGUAUGAACCGUGCUACAAGCCGAGCGAUAUAUUUGCCCUGUAUCAGAAUCGUUUUUGUUUCCAAGGUUUGAAAAGCAACUCGACGUUUGGAAAGAAUUUAAGAAAAUCCACUGCGAGAACAUCACCAGCAUCAUUGUCAUCAAUAUCACCAUCACCAGCAUCAUCAUCGUCGUCAUCAACAUCACCAUCAAAUGCAGAGACACGAAGAACAGCAACAAUAAUAGUACAGAGCCCCGUCAAAAAGGGACCCAGUCACAAUCGAAUCUAUAAGACAGAUGCCGUUAUUAAUAUUCAACAACAGCAACACGCAGACAAUGCAAUAAAACAAGAAAAAGCACAAUGAUCAAUGCAAUGAAAUAACGACAAGAAUAAAACAAAUAACCAAGAGCGAACAACAACAACAGAACCAGUGGAACAACCAAAGAAUAAUUAGUGCUAAUAAUAAAUAAAUAAAUAAUUUUAAUUAUUUAACAUAUAAUUAACUAAACCAAAUGCAAAAAUCAAACGAGAAUACACACUUACAUGUAAAUAUGCGAAAAUCAUUUUAUAAAUUAACAAAGAUGAUGUUGGUGAUGUUGACAACAACAGCAGCGGAGCAACAAAGCUUCUUGUAAACUUUAUACAGCAAAAGAUUGAGUUAAACGCUAACAACGACUGUUCACCCCCUUCCGAUGGAUAUAGGAAGGGACGUUGAGCAAUGGAAUGACUAAUGACAACAGCAACAAUAACACAACUCACAACUCACAAUAAUAACAGUACGUGUAUCUGUUAUCUGUUAUUAGACAAAAUAGUUUUUCUUUUGGCAAAAAAGCAUUAAAUUUAUGUAUUUAUCAACAGCUUUUCUAUUAUUGUAUCUGUAACGUUUACCAGAAUUUUCUAUGUCCAUACAAUGUGUCAUUUAUUUAUAUAGUGUUUAGAUGAAUUGAAAUCAAAUCAAAUCGAAGAGCAAUAACUAAUACAUACUAUACAACCUAAUUGCUCAACUAUUGUAUUUAUGCAUCGAAGGCAUUGCAUGUAACUUGUUGUGUUUAUGUCCUUAAUACUAUAUCUAAAUUGUUUUGCAGCAUGCAUAUCUUUGCGUAUGUGUGUAUAUAUAAAUAUGUAAAUGUAGAACUCUAAAUACACAUAUAUACAUAUUUGUUUUGUUAACCAUUGGUAUUAAUGAAAUAUUUUACUUCUGAUGGAAUUUUAAUCUUACCAUAUUAGUGGCAAAUACAAUACAUUUAAUAUUAUUUAAAAUUAAGUCG